rnacentral:rRNA from 1 species
UACGAAGGGGGCUAGCGUUGCUCGGAAUCACUGGGCGUAAAGGGUGCGUAGGCGGGUUUUUAAGUCAGGGGUGAAAUCCUGGAGCUAAACUCCAGAACUGCCUUUGAUACUGAAGAUCUUGAGUUCGGGAGAGGUGAGUGGAAUUGCGAGUGUAGAGGUGAAAUUCGUAGAUAUUCGCAAGAACACCAGUGGCGAAGGCGGCUCACUGGCCCGAUACUGACACUGAGGCACGAAAGCGUGGGGAGCAAACAGG